CGAACUUUCUGUCCAACAGUUAUUAAUGUGACUUCAUCCAGCUUUGGCCAAAACUAAAACUGAUGAUAAGCUGCUGACUAAGACCUUUCUGUCUGUGCCCCCUCCCGUGAGAACGUUGCCAGGCAAAGUUUUCCAGCUGACAGUUCAGAUUCCAGCUUUCUGGGCAAGACUUCCCGGAUUGACCUCCGCUGGGCUUGAACCUACGUGUUGUUCGCGUUGUUCUUGGGCAGUUGGACCUGGCACUUCAUCCAUCCUGCAUGGUUUGGAGGAAGACCAGGGAGGGCAAAGGAACCCGGGUCUGCUCCCUGAUCCCACAUCUUCUCAGUCGUACACCUCGAGAAAACUUCCUGACUGUGCCCCUUGGGCGCCUGGCACACUGUUGUACAAAGGAGCGUUUGAUAAACAGCAAGAGUGGAUGGGAACCACAAGCUAUCCUCCACCAUAGGGGUUCAUAGGACGGCAGAGCACAUCUGAGCCAACAUGGGGCCCAUGACAUGGCCAAGUGAAG